rnacentral:rRNA from 1 species
AUGGCGGAGACGGAGUACCGCUGCUUCGUGGGCGGCCUCGCCUGGGCCACCGACGACAACAACCUCCAGCAGGCCUUCAGCCAGUACGGCGAGAUCCUCGACGCCAAGAUCAUCAACGACCGCGAGACGGGGAGGUCCCGCGGGUUCGGCUUCGUCACGUUCGGCAGCGAGGAGUCGAUGCGCCAGGCCAUCGAGGAGAUGAACGGCAAGGAGCUCGACGGGCGCAACAUCACCGUCAACGAGGCCCAGUCCCGCCGCUCGGGCGGAGGGGGCGGCGGCGGCGGCGGCUACGGCGGCCAGCGCGGCGGUGGCGGAGGCUACGGCGGCGGCGGCGGCUACGGAGGCGGCGGCGGCGGCUACGGCGGCCAGGGCGGUGGCGGCUACGGCGGCCAGCGCGGUGGCGGCGGCGGCUACGGCGGCGGCGGCGGCUACGGCGGUGGUGGCGGCUACGGCGGCCAGCGCGGCGGUGGCGGCGGCGACUCCGGCGGCCAGUGGAGGAACUGA